rnacentral:rRNA from 1 species
GAAUUGAGCCAUAUCUCCCUGCAGUUCUUGCCUGGUUUCACAGUGAGGCUAAGCAGGGUUGAGCAUGGCCAAUACCUGGAUGGGAGACUUUGUGGGGGAAAAUUAAGUUCCCUUUC